GAAGACUUUGUUUUUGCUUUAUUUAAGAAUUUGGUUUUAGAUUUUUAUAAUUUAUAUCAUCUAAACAAAAUUAGUAUUUCUAUGGUAUCAAUUUAUUUUAAUAUGUGAUUCCAUAUAUUGCAAUUUUGGAUCCUUCAUGUACGGUCCCUACAAUUAUUUUUGAAUAACAUAAUUAGAACCAUAUUUCAUAUUUGAUUGAAGGAAACUUCAAAAAAAAAAAAAUUAUACCAUUGGAUUGGAAUGAUUCAACGGUUUAGAUUAGUAGUCUAGGUUAUCCUCACCAUUGGCUCCCAUUGGACGAACCCAUUGGAAGUAACGCCGCAUCUUCUUGAUAUAUGGAGUCAUCCUAUAGAUUCCUCUACGCUAAUCCAUUCAUCUCUUACCUCAACCCACCACAAGUCUCUCUCAUAUGUCGUAAUCCAUAUCAAGCCACCACAAUCCUAUCCCAAUUCUGUUCCAAUCAACACGAGUUAGAUUAGAGCAUUAUCUUAAGCAGCUACCACUCUGAUGGAAUCAAAGAAGCAGUCAACACAGCUCAACCAGCCACAACAACCGCCAGAUCAAUUAGCGGUUAGCACAGCUCAGCCAGCCACAUCAAUAACCACUCAAGGAAGCUCAACCUCGGGAGUAACUAAUGUAUACAAGCUAAGCAAAGCCGAGCUCAAACGCUACCAAUUGACACGCAUUGAGGAACCAGAAGAACACAUCGACCCAGACUACUUGCGUUAUUUGAAAGCAAUAGGUGCGUACGACUCAUCUCAACCGCAGUCAGAACGAGGAAAGGGUCAGGGUCGUGAACACAUCGACCCAGACUACUUGCAUUAUUUGAGAGCAAUUGGUGCGUACGACUCAAUUCAGCAACAGCCAAAACGAGGAAAUGGUCGUGGUCAUGAGGGUCGACGCUAACACAUCUACCUAAUAUUCCUAAUGUUGUGAUAUUUGUAUCACCACUGCUUCGUAAUGUUUUAUUUGCUUCAGUAUGCUAUUUUUCUUGGUAUGGAUAAUUUGAUUCUCUAUGUUUGAUUUGCUUCAGCACAACAUUUUCUUUGCUUGGUAUGUUGUAUUUCCUUUGUCUGUUAUAUUUGCUUGGUAUGUUUUGAUUCACUAA